AAGAUACCACGCUGCAUGUGUCCUUAGUAGUCAUGUCUCCUUAGGCUCCUCUUGGACAUUCUGAGCAUGUGAGACCUGAGGACUGCAAACAGCUAUAAGAGGCUCCAAAUUAAUCAUAUCUUUCCCUUUGAGAAUCUGGCCAAGCUCCAGCUAAUCUACUUGGAUGGGUUGCCAGCUAUCUGGAGAAAAAGGUGGAGAUGGGGCAUGAGGAUCCUCCAGGGGAAAAGCUCACUACCACUGGGCAACAACCCUAGGUCAGGAGGUUCUGUCAAGAUACUUUCCUGGUCCCAGAUAGGAAGAUAAAGUCUCAAAAACAACCACCACACGUCAAGCUCUUCAUUGUUCCUAUCUGCCAAAUCAUUAUACUUCCUACAAGCAGUGCAGAGAGCUGAGUCUUCAGCAGGUCCAAGAAAUUUGAACACACUGAAGGAAGUCAGCCUUCCCACCUGAAGAUCAACAUGCCUGGCACUCUAGCACUUGAGGAUAGCUGAAUGAAUGUGUCUUACCCAUUUCCAUGUUUCUCUUGCUAAUUUCUUUCGUGUGUGCCUUUGCCUCAUUUUCUCUUUUUGUUCACAAGAGUGGUCUGUGUCUUGUCUUAGACAUAUCUCUCAUUUUUCAUUUUGUUGCUAUUUCUCUUUGCUCUCCUAGAUGUGGCUCUUCUUUCACGCUUUAUUUCAUGUCUCCUUUUUGGGUCACAUGCUGUGUGCUUUUUGUCCUUUUCUUGUUCUGUCUACCUCUCCUUUCUCUGCCUACCUCUCUUUUCUCUUUGUGAACUGUGAUUAUUUGUUACCCCUUCCCCUUCUCGUUCGUUUUAAAUUUCACCUUUUUUCUGAGUCUGGCCUCCUUUCUGCUGUUUCUACUUUUUAUCUCACAUUUCUCAUUUCUGCAUUUCCUUUCUGCCUCUCUUGGGCUAUUCUCUCUCUCCUCCCCUGCGUGCCUCAGCAUCUCUUGCUGUUUGUGAUUUUCUAUUUCAGUAUUAAUCUCUGUUGGCUUGUAUUUGUUCUCUGCUUCUUCCCUUUCUACUCACCUUUGAGUAUUUCAGCCUCUUCAUGAAUCUAUCUCCCUCUCUUUGAUUUCAUGUAAUCUCUCCUUAAAUAUUUCUUUGCAUAUGUGGGCAAGUGUACGUGUGUGUGUGUCAUGUGUGGCAGAGGGGCUUCCUAACCCCUGCCUGAUAGGUGCAGAACGUCGGCUAUCAGAGCAAGCAUUGUGGAGCGGUUCCUUAUGCCAGGCUGCCAUGUGAGAUGAUCCAAGACCAAAACAAGGCCCUAGACUGCAGUAAAACCCAGAACUCAAGUAGGGCAGAAGGUGGAAGGCUCAUAUGGAUAGAAGGCCCAAAGUAUAAGACAGAUGGUUUGAGACUUGAGACCCGAGGACUAAGAUGGAAAGCCCAUGUUCCAAGAUAGAUAGAAGCCUCAGGCCUGAAACCAACAAAAGCCUCAAGAGCCAAGAAAACAGAGGGUGGCCUGAAUUGGACCGAAGGCCUGAGUUGGAUGGAAGUCUCAAGGCUUGAGUUAGAAGUCUUAAGACCUGGGACAGGACACAUGGAAGGCCUAAGAACUGAGACUUGUGACACAAGGCCAACGACCUAAGAUUAGCCCAGGGUUGUAGCUGGAAGACCUACAACCCAAGGAUGGAAGGCCCCUGUCACAAAGCCUACCUAGAUGGAUAGAGGACCCAAGCGAAAAAGGUAUCUCAAGACUAACGGCCGGAAUCUGGAGGCCCAUGACCCAGAACCCAGGAAGGAUAGAAGCUUGAAGACCUGGGGAAAUCCCAAGAUGAGAACCCUAAACCCUACCUCUUUUCUAUUGUUUACACUUCUUACUCUUAGAUAUUUCCAGUUCUCCUGUUUAUCUUUAAGCCUGAUUCUUUUGAGAUGUACUUUUUGAUGUUGCCGGUUACCUUUAGAUUGACAGUAUUAUGCCUGGGCCAGUCUUGAGCCAGCUUUAAAUCACAGCUUUUACCUAUUUGUUAGGCUAUAGUGUUUUGUAAACUUCUGUUUCUAUUCACAUCUUCUCCACUUGAGAGAGACACCAAAAUCCAGUCAGUAUCUAAUCUGGCUUUUGUUAACUUCCCUCAGGAGCAGACAUUCAUAUAGGUGAUACUGUAUUUCAGUCCUUUCUUUUGACCCCAGAAGCCCUAGACUGAGAAGAUAAAAUGGUCAGGUUGUUGGGGAAAAAAAAGUGCCAGGCUCUCUAGAGAAAAAUGUGAAGAGAUGCUCCAGGCCAAUGAGAAGAAUUAGACAAGAAAUACACAGAUGUGCCAGACUUCUGAGAAGCACCUGCCAGCAACAGCUUCCUUCUUUGAGCUUAGGUGAGCAGGAUUCUGGGGUUUGGGAUUUCUAGUGAUGGUUAUGGAAAGGGUGACUGUGCCUGGGACAAAGCGAGGUCCCAAGGGGACAGCCUGAACUCCCUGCUCAUAGUAGUGGCCAAAUAAUUUGGUGGACUGUGCCAACGCUACUCCUGGGUUUAAUACCCAUCUCUAGGCUUAAAGAUGAGAGAACCUGGGACUGUUGAGCAUGUUUAAUACUUUCCUUGAUUUUUUUCUUCCUGUUUAUGUGGGAAGUUGAUUUAAAUGACUGAUAAUGUGUAUGAAAGCACUGUAAAACAUAAGAGAAAAACCAAUUAGUGUAUUGGCAAUCAUGCAGUUAACAUUUGAAAGUGCAGUGUAAAUUGUGAAGCAUUAUGUAAAUCAGGGGUCCACAGUUUUUCUGUAAGGGGUCAAAUCAUAAAUACUUUAGACUGUGGGCCAUAUGGUUUCUGUUACAUAUUUGUUUUUUAAACAACGUUUUUAUAAGGUCAAAAUCAUUCUUAGUUUUUGAGCCAAUUGGAUUUGGCCUGCUGUUCAUAGCUUACCACCCCCUGAUGUAUUAUUUGUUAUUCAGAGAAAAUUUCUGAAUACUACUAGUUUCCUUUUCUGUGCCUGUCCCUGUGCUAGGCACUAAAAAUGCAAUGAUUAUUGAUAUCUAGGUGACCUGAAAAAAAAUAGUGAAUGUGCUUUGUAAACUGUAAAGCACUUGUAUUCUACUGUGAUAAGCGUUGUGGAUACAAAGAAAGGAGCAAGCAUAAAAAAGUGCUCUUUCAAAAGGAUAUAGUACUAUGCAGACACAAGGAAUUGUUUGAUAAAUGAAUAAAUUAUAUGUAUAUUUGAGGCCAAUUUGUGUUUGCUGCUCUGGUAAUUUUGAGUAAAAAUGCAGUAUUCCAGGUAUCAGAAACGAAAACACAUGGAAACUGCUUUUAAACUUUAAAAUAUACUGAAAACAUAAGGGACUAAGCUUGUUGUGGUCACCUAUAAUGUGCCAGAUACCAUGCUGGGUGCUAGAGCUACCAAAGGGGGAAAAGUAUUCUCAUAGAACAAAAAAUUUCAGAAAGGUGCAUAUUAAAGUGCUUUGUAAACUAAAGCAUGAUACAAAUGUCAAUGGGCUACAUAUUUAUGAAUGAAUGAAUGGAUGAAUGAAUAUUAAGUGCCUCUUACAUACCAGCUAUUUUGGGUACUGUAAAAUACAAGAUUAAUUCUCCUAUGUAAUAAGAGGAAAGUUUAUCCUCUAUACUAUUCAGAUGUAAGGAAUGAUAUAUUGCUUAAUUUUAAACAAUCAAGACUUUACUGGUGAGGUUAAGUUAAAUUAUUACUGAUACAUUUUUCCAGGUAACCAGGAAAGAGCUAGUAUGAGGAAAUGAAGUAAUAGAUGUGAGAUCCAGACCGAAAGUCACUUAAUUCAGCUUGCGAAUGUGCUUUCUAAAUUAUAAAGCACUUGUAAAUGAAAAAUUUGAUGCUUUCUGUAUGAAUAAAACUUUCUGUAAGCUAGGUAUUGUCUCUACAAAAUUCUCAUUGUAUAGUUAAACCACAGUGAGAAGGGUUCUAUAAGUAGUUAUACAAACCAAGGGUUUAAAUACCUGUUAAAUAGAUCAAUUUUGAUUGCCUACUAUGUGAACUCACUGUUAAAGGCACUGAAAAUUUAUCAUAUUUCAUUUAGCCACAGCCAAAAAUAAGGCAAUACCUAUGUUAGCAUUUUGUGAACUCUAAGGCACCAUAUAAAUGUAACUGUUGAUUUUCUCACUUGGUGCUGGGUACUAGGUUUAUAAAAUUGUAUGAUAGUUAUUAUAUUGUGCAAAUAAAGUAGGAAAAUUUGAAUAACAAUGAUUAUCUUUUGAAUACGCAUACGCAAGGGAUUGGUUGUCUGAAGAAUGCCACUAUAGUAGUUAUCUAUUGUGUGCCAAUCUCAUUGCUAGGCAUUGGGGAUGCAAAGAUAAACCAUCUUUAUUGUGUCUUGGGUAGCAGAAGAAAAUAUGUGUAAAAUCAAUUUAUAAUUUGUAAACUGCCACCCAUAUAUAAGCUAUAUCUGCUGAAUGAUCAUUGAUUACUCUUAUCCUUAGAGAUAACAACUGGGGGCACAAACAUUUAUUAUCAUUAUUGAACCUACAACAGAGAUCUAUGUGUAGAUUUACAAAGCCUACAGUUCUAUACAGAUAGGAAUGAACUAUUGGCUUACUGAAUGGUGAUUACUUUCUGUGGGGCUCGGAACUACAUGCCCUAGGAUAUAAAAAUGAUGUUAUCAUUAUAGAGUGCUCACAGAAGGAAAUGAAGUAAUAUAGGUGUGAGAUCCAGACCAAAAGUCAUUUAACAAGUUUAUUCAGUGAUGAAAACAUGGGACAAAUGGACUAAUAUAAGGCAGUGUACUAAGCUGAGUAGAGAGAUAAAGUCCUGUCCAGAAGAUACAUGCUUCCUGGCCUGAUUGAGGAGAUGGAAAAUUUUUGCAAAAAACAAGGUGUUGUGGUCUUCCAUCCAGUUUCUUAAGUGCUGAUGAUAAAAGUGAAUUAGACCCACCUUGACCUGGCCUACAGAAGUAAAGGAGUAAAAAUAAAUGCCUCAGGCGUGCUUUUUGAUUCAUUUGAUAAACAAAGCAUCUUUUAUGUGGAAUAUACCAUUCUGGGUCCUGAGGAUAAGAGAGAUGAGGGCAUUAGAUCACUGACAGCUGAAGAUAGAAGAACAUCUUUGGUUUGAUUGUUUAAAUAAUAUUUCAAUGCCUAUUCUCUGCAAGGUACUAUGUUUCGUAAAUUAAAUAGGUCUGGCCCAGAAGACCCACUCAAUUGCCUUUGAGAUUAAAAAAAAAAAAAAAAAGAAAGAAAAAUGCAAGUUUCUUUCAAAAUAAAGAGACAUUUUUCCUAGUUUCAGGAAUCCCCCAAAUCACUUCCUCAUUGGCUUAGUUUAAAGCCAGGAGACUGAUAAAAGGGCUCAGGGUUUGUUCUUUAAUUCAUUAACUAAACAUUCUGCUUUUAUUACAGUUAAAUGGUUCAAGAUGUAACAACUAGUUUUAAAGGUAUUUGCUCAUUGGUCUGGCUUAGAGACAGGAAGACAUAUGAGCAAUAAAAAAAAGAUUCUUUUGCAUUUACCAAUUUAGUAAAAAUUUAUUAAAACUGAAUAAAGUGCUGUUCUUAAGUGCUUGAAAGACGUAAACCAAAGUGCACUUUAUCUCAUUUAUCUUAUGGUGGAAACACAGGAACAAAUUCUCUAAGAGACUGUGUUUCUUUAGUUGAGAAGAAACUUCAUUGAGUAGCUGUGAUAUGUUCGAUACUAAGGAAAAACUAAACAGAUCACCUUUGACAUGCGUUGUAGAGUGGGAAUAAGAGAGGGCUUUUUAUUUUUUCGUUCAUACGAGUAUUGAUGAAGAUGAUACUAAAUGCUAAAUGAAAUAUAUCUGCUCCAAAAGGCAUUUAUUCUGACUUGGAGAUGCAACAAAAACACAAAAAUGGAAUGAAGUGAUACUCUUCAUCAAACAGAAGUGACUGUUAUCUCAACCAUUUUGUUAAAUCCUAAACAGAAAACAAAAAAAAUCAUGACGAAAAGACACUUGCUUAUUAAUUGGCUUGGAAAGUAGAAUAUAGGAGAAAGGUUACUGUUUAUUUUUUUUCAUGUAUUCAUUCAUUCUACAAAUAUAUUCGGGUGCCAAUAGGUACUUGGUAUAAGGUUUUUGGCCCCAGAGACAUGGGAAAAAAAUGCAUGCCUUCCCAGAGAAUGCCUAAUACUUUCCUUUUGGCUUGUUUUCUUGUUAGGGGCAUGGCUUAGUCCCUAAAUAACAUUGUGUGGUUUAAUUCCUACUCCGUAUCUCUUCUACCACUCUGGCCACUACGAUAAGCAGGUAGCUGGGUUUUGUAGUGAGCUUGCUCCUUAAGUUACAGGAACUCUCCUUAUAAUAGACACUUCAUUUUCCUAGUCCAUCCCUCAUGAAAAAUGACUGACCACUGCUGGGCAGCAGGAGGGAUGAUGACCAACUAAUUCCCAAACCCCAGUCUCAUUGGUACCAGCCUUGGGGAACCACCUACACUUGAGCCACAAUUGGUUUUGAAGUGCAUUUACAAGUUUCUGGCAUCACUACCACUACUGAUUAAACAAGAAUAAGAGAACAUUUUAUCAUCAUCUGCUUUAUUCACAUAAAUGAAGUUGUGAUGAAUAAAUCUGCUUUUAUGCAGACACAAGGAAUUAAGUGGCUUCGUCAUUGUCCUUCUACCUCAAAGAUAAUUUAUUCCAAAAGCUAAGAUAAAUGGAAGACUCUUGAACUUGUGAACUGAUGUGAAAUGCAGAAUCUCUUUUGAGUCUUUGCUGUUUGGAAGAUUGAAAAAUAUUGUUCAGCAUGGGUGACCACCAGAAAGUAAUCUUAAGCCAUCUAGAUGUCACAAUUGAAACAAACUGGGGAGUUGGUUGCUAUUGUAAAAUAAAAUAUACUGUUUUGAAAACUUUGUAUUUUGAUGUGACAAUUUCUAACUCACUGUCCCUAACCACACUAAUUACCGUAAGUUCUUCAUUUCUUUUUUCUUUUUCUUUUUAAAUUAAUAAAUUAAUUUAUUUUUUGGAGAUGGAGUCUCGCUUUGUUGCCCAGGCUGGAGUGCAGUGGUGCCAUCUUGGCUCACUGUAACCUCUGCCUCCUGGGUUCAAGCGAUUCUCCUGCCUCAGCCUCACCAGUAGCUGGGAUUACAGUCAUGAGCCACCAUGCCUGGCUAAUGGUUGUAUUUUUAGUAGAGACGGGGUUUUGCCAUGUUGGCCAGGCUGGUCACGAACUCCUGACUUAAAGUGAAACACCUGCCUCGGCCUCCCAAAGUUCUGGGAUUACAGGCGGGAGCCACCGUGCCUGGCCUCAUUUCUUUUUUUAAACUACCUUAAUCACCCAGUGUGGGUAAAUGGUUUGAAGUCUCAUUUCUUACAGCAUCAGUUGCUUUGGUCAAGGAUACUGAGAAGCACAAACCCAGUAAAAAAUGUGAGAAGCAAAAAACUUGAGGAUCAAAAGUGGGAGAGGAGAAGGGUAUAAACUGUAAGGCUGUGGGAAUUAAGCAUUCAUGAAAGAGGCCCAGACCCUGAGUAGGUGAAGGGAUCUUCAGUGUUUCUAGAAUUCUGAAUGAUCAAAUACCCAAACAUUAGAUUGGUGACUUUAUAGGCAAAUGAACCAGCACAGUAUUUUUUUUUUUUUUGAGACAGAGUCUCGCUCUGUCUCCAGGCUGGAGUGCGGUGGUGUGAUCGGCUCACUGCAACCUCUGCCACCCAGGUUCAAGCAAUUGUGCCUCAGCCUCCCGAAUAGCUGGGAUUAAAGGCGUGUAGUACGACAGCAGGCUAAUUUUUGUAUUUAAUUUAGUAGAGAGAGGGUUUCACCAUUUUGGCCAGGCUAGUCUCUUAACUCCUGACCUCAAAUGAUCCACCCGCCUCGGCCUCCCAAAGUGCUGGGAUUACGGGCAUAAGUCGCCGUGCCCAGCCCCCAGCACAGUAUUCUAUAGGCAAGAGUUCCUACUGCUUUGUUGGAAAUUAAACUGGAAACUGGUUUUUUUUUUUUUCUCCAGAAAGUCUUAAGCUGUUAUGGGCCCAGAUGGUUAUUCAGUAUAUGAACUUUUUUUUUUUUUUUUUUAGACAGUGUCUUGCUCAGCCACCCAGGCUGGAGUGCAGUGGUGUGAUCUCGGCUCACUGCAGCCACUGUCUCCCAGGUUCAAGUGAUUCUCCCGUCCCAGCCUCCAGAACAGCUGGCAUUACAGGCACCCGCCAUCAUGCCCGGCUAACUUUUGUAUUUUAGUAGAGACUGGGUUUCACCAUGUUGGCCAGGCUAGUCUUGAACUCCUGACCUCAGGUGAUCCACCAGCCUUGGCCUCCCAAGGUGCUAGGAUUACAGGUGUGAGCCGCCGCACCCGUCCCAGUACAUGGACCUUUAAAACCGAUGCCUGAAGAACUCUUACCUAUGUGUUAACAGUUGAAUUUUGUCAUUAUAAAUGAGUAGAGUUUGAGGUGAUAAAGUUGACCCAUAUCUUGGGGGUUGCUUCUGAACUGGGAUGGUGCUACAUGGACUUUUCUCUUUACUCUUAUUUCUUUGCAAGGCUGGAUGUGUAGGACAGAGGGAAAGCAGGUGAGGCGGUAAGGAGACUUCCUGAAGUUAUUCUUGAGUGUCUUCUGUUCCUUUGUCCAUCCCUCUUGAUUCCUUCAGCAGAUCCUAUUCCCAUAGGGGCUUACUUCAGUCCCCUUGUCAUAUUUGCUGUGCUUACUCUUGUGUUUGUGGUGCUUUGGUCCUCAAAUUCCUUGAUUCUCUUGUAAAAUUUGAAGGGAGAGGAAAUGAAAAACACCGUAUCUCCUGGUUAGUGAGGAAAGGUCAGACAAGGCAAUUUUAUAGGGGCAGCAGAAAUAUUUAGAAAAUGUCAAAGCAUUUGAUAGUAUUUUUCAGUUUUUGUAUUUUUUAUGUGGUGUGUAUGAAGUGGUCACUGUAUGCUUGUAGUUGGAUUUGGUGCCAGCCCAACCCACAUCCACAAAAACUUGUGCCUCCUAUCAAUUUACUCUUUUACCCUUGGUCAUGAGAAAAGGUAAUGUUACUGAGGCCAGUAGACUUAGGCAAGCAUCUAUCAUUCAAAUUUCGAAGUGGAAUAAUUUAAAUGGGGUUUAAAAUUUAGCCAGCCAUUCUAUUCACUGUGAAUGGAUAGGCAGGAAGUGUGCUAAUCAUAGGUCCAACUUCUGAAAAAGGUGGAGGUAGCAAGGAAAACCAGUUGAAGGACCUUAGUACCUUUCCCAUGAAUUAUAGCAAAUGGAGCACCAAGGCAAUUACAUGGUAGCUGAGGAGUCAUUAGUUCUCAAAAUUCAAACCCCACUCAGCUAUAUUGUUUCCAUUGGCUUGGUAAAGGUGAACUUUUGAGGGGUUCUUAUUGUUAGUAUUUCCUGGGUUUGCCACAGUCUUGCUCCCAGUACCAGCAUUCUCAGUGACGAGCUUCCUUUUACCCACUCCAGUUUCUCUUCUCUGUGUACUCUGGAUCAAAAUAGUAACUCCUUUCUAGAGUGCUAGAACAAAAGCUGGCAUCACUUGAGGGCCUAAGGAGAGGAGAGCAAAGGGAGAGCAGAAUGCAAAGUAGAGUGGGAAAGAAAGUUGGAUUCGAGCAGCCUUGCAGGUAGCUAACUACUUAGGCAGAACCUGUCACUUUAUGGGAACUCCGUGGUAAGGAAAAAAAUUCAUAAGCAGACUUUGCAGGCAGGAUUUCAAAAAAUCUUAGGAAUUCUGACUCACAUUAAAUAGAAGAAGAAUGUCAAAGGUUGAGUGGCUUGUGAGGGAUGAGCUUUGAGUGGACCCUACUUUAUAAUAUUCCGUGAAGAAAUGAUUAG
rnacentral:lncRNA from 1 species